rnacentral:rRNA from 1 species
AACUGUGGUUAAAAGUGUUGCAUACGGCCGUACCUGGUUAGUACUCGGAUGGGAGACUACCUGGGAAGACCAGGUACUACAAGUC